GACGAACGCUGGCGGCGUGCCUAAUACAUGCAAGUAGAACGCUGAAGAGAGGAGCUUGCUCUUCUUGGAUGAGUUGCGAACGGGUGAGUAACGCGUAGGUAACCUGCCUUGUAGCGGGGGAUAACUAUUGGAAACGAUAGCUAAUACCGCAUAACAAUGGAUGACACAUGUCAUUUAUUUGAAAGGGGCAAUUGCUCCACUACAAGAUGGACCUGCGUUGUAUUAGCUAGUAGGUGAGGUAAUGGCUCACCUAGGCGACGAUACAUAGCCGACCUGAGAGGGUGAUCGGCCACACUGGGACUGAGACACGGCCCAGACUCCUACGGGAGGCAGCAGUAGGGAAUCUUCGGCAAUGGGGGCAAUCCUGACCGAGCAACGCCGCGUGAGUGAAGAAGGUUUUCGGAUCGUAAAGCUCUGUUGUAAGUCAAGAACGGGUGUGAGAGUGGAAAGUUCACACUGUGACGGUAGCUUACCAGAAAGGGACGGCUAACUACGUGCCAGCAGCCGCGGUAAUACGUAGGUCCCGAGCGUUGUCCGGAUUUAUUGGGCGUAAAGCGAGCGCAGGCGGUUUGAUAAGUCUGAAGUUAAAGGCUGUGGCUCAACCAUAGUUCGCUUUGGAAACUGUCAAACUUGAGUGCAGAAGGGGAGAGUGGAAUUCCAUGUGUAGCGGUGAAAUGCGUAGAUAUAUGGAGGAACACCGGUGGCGAAAGCGGCUCUCUGGUCUGUAACUGACGCUGAGGCUCGAAAGCGUGGGGAGCGAACAGGAUUAGAUACCCUGGUAGUCCACGCCGUAAACGAUGAGUGCUAGGUGUUGGAUCCUUUCCGGGAUUCAGUGCCGCAGCUAACGCAUUAAGCACUCCGCCUGGGGAGUACGACCGCAAGGUUGAAACUCAAAGGAAUUGACGGGGGCCCGCACAAGCGGUGGAGCAUGUGGUUUAAUUCGAAGCAACGCGAAGAACCUUACCAGGUCUUGACAUCCCGAUGCUAUUUCUAGAGAUAGAAAGUUACUUCGGUACAUCGGUGACAGGUGGUGCAUGGUUGUCGUCAGCUCGUGUCGUGAGAUGUUGGGUUAAGUCCCGCAACGAGCGCAACCCCUAUUGUUAGUUGCCAUCAUUCAGUUGGGCACUCUAGCGAGACUGCCGGUAAUAAACCGGAGGAAGGUGGGGAUGACGUCAAAUCAUCAUGCCCCUUAUGACCUGGGCUACACACGUGCUACAAUGGUUGGUACAACGAGUUGCGAGUCGGUGACGGCGAGCUAAUCUCUUAAAGCCAAUCUCAGUUCGGAUUGUAGGCUGCAACUCGCCUACAUGAAGUCGGAAUCGCUAGUAAUCGCGGAUCAGCACGCCGCGGUGAAUACGUUCCCGGGCCUUGUACACACCGCCCGUCACACCACGAGAGUUUGUAACACCCGAAGUCGGUGAGGUAACCUUUUGGAGCCAGCCGCCUAAGGUGGAC
rnacentral:rRNA from 1 species